GGAUGUGAGGGUGAUCUGGCUGCGACAUCUGUCACCCCAUUGAUCGCCAGGGUUGAUUCGGCUGAUCUGGCUGGCUAGGCGGGUGUCCCCUUCCUCCCUCACCGCUCCAUGUGCGUCCCUCCCGAAGCUGCGCGCUCGGUCAAAGAGGACGACCAUCCCCGAUAGAGGAGGACCGUUCUUCGGUCAAGGGUAUACGAGUAGCUGCGCUCCCCUGCUAGAACCUCCAAACAAGCUCUCAAAGGUCAGUGAGUUGCAGAGCAGCAAUUUGCACUUAGAUCCAAUCCAUGUAUUUAACUGCUAAGUGGCACAGUAUUCAUAACAU
rnacentral:snRNA from 1 species